rnacentral:rRNA from 1 species
UUAGUGGGGAAUAACUGUUGGAAACGACAGCUAAUACCGCAUAAUAUUGCUGGAUAAUUUCCAGUAAUGAAAGGAGCUUUCAAGCUCCGCUGAUUGAUGAGGAUGCGGCGCAUUAGCUAGUUGGUAGGGUAAUGGCCUACCAAGGCAAUGAUGCGUAGCCGAUCUGAGAGGAUGAACGGCCACAUUGGGACUGAGACACGGCCCAAACUUCUACGGAAGGCGGCAGUAGGGAAUUUUUCUCAAUGGGCGAAAGCCUGAUGGAGCAAUGCCGCGUGACUGAUGAAGGUCUUCGGAUUGUAAAGGUCUGUUGUAAGGGAAGAAAUGGUAAAACAGGAAAUGGUUUUAUCUAUGACGGUACCUUACCAGAAAGCCACGGCUAACUAUGUGCCAGCAGCCGCGGUAAUACAUAGGUGGCAAGCGUUAUCCGGAUUUAUUGGGCGUAAAGGGUGCGUAGACGGUUUUGCAAGUCUGAGGUUAAAUUUAGGAGCUCAACUCCUAAUCGCCUUGGAAACUACNAGACUAGAGCAUA